GGGGCCGUGCGGAAGCAUGGCGGCGGCGGCGGCCCCGUCCCGCGGCGCGGUGCAGCGGUUGCGGCAGCUGUGCCAGCGCUACCAGGAGUACGUGCGGCGGCACCCGGCCGCCACCGCGCAGCUGGAGGGCACCGUGCGCGGCCUCUCCUACCUGCUGCCAGGUCGCUUCGCGGACGCCCACGAGCUGUCGGAGCUCGUGUACUCCGCCUCCAACCUGCUGGUGCUGCUCAACGACUGGAUCCUGCGCAAGGAGCUGCCCCGAGGCCCGCCGGGGUCACUGCCCCAGCAGAAGCUGCUGACCUGGCUGAGCGUGCUAGAAUGUGUGGAGGUCUUUGCAGAGAUGGGGACAGCCAGGGUGUGGGGGGAGAUGGGCCGAUGGACCAUCAUUGUCCUCAUCCAGCUGGCUAAGGCCAUCCUCCGCCUCCUGCUGCUGCUGUGGUAUAAAGCUGGCAUCCAGACAUCUCCACCCAUAGUGCCGUUGAACAGGGAGCAGCAGCAGUCUCUCCACUCGGAAGAUGUGGAAGGCAGCUCCUCAGGGAAAGAUCAGACCUUUGUCGGUAGGCGUUCCAGCCGUGUUGUGCGAUCUCUCCAAAAUACUCCUUCCCUGCAGUCCAGGCACUGGGGGUCCCCCCAGCAGAGGGAGGAGACGCAGAGCCGAAGGGCAGAGGAGAUGAACCAGCCUCCCACUCCUCUGGGUCUCCAAGAAACCAUCGCAGAAUCGAUCUAUGUUACCCGUCCUCUGCUCCACUUAUUGAGUUUGGGAGUAUGGGGACAGAGAUCAUGGAAACCCUGGCUCCUCUCAGCAGUCCUGGAUAUCUCAAGUUUGAGCUUGCUGAGUGAUCUGAAAGACCUGAACAGGAGAGAGCGAGCAGAGCUGAGGAGACGAACUAUCCUACUGCUGUACUACCUGUUGAGAUCUCCUUUCUAUGACCGAUAUUCAGAGUAAGGGGCUCUGUUGGGCUUUUGCUGAGAAUUUCCCUUUGAACAGAAAUAGCAUCAGGGGACUGGGUGAGCAGAUCUGAAGAGGUCUGGGUGCCUGUGACCAGGGCCAGGAUCCUCUUCCUCCUGCGCUUGUUGGCUGAUUACGUGCCUGGACUUGGCUUUGUCACACGGCCACUGAUGGAUUACUUGCCUGCCUGGCAGAAAAUCUAUUUCUACAACUGGGGCUGAUGAGAUGAUGAUGAUUUUUAUUUGCUAAGAUCAGGGAUGGCUGUUUCUAAGGAGGGGCUGGGGGAAGGCAUGUUGAUUAUGUCUAAUUUUCAGUUAAGCCGUCAAUGAGAAGCUCCUGUUCUGCAGGGUGGGGAGGGGGGUGUAAAUAAUUUUUUAACAGAUCUGGCUGUGAAUGAUGGACACUGUGCGUGUGGAGAGACCUUGGCCACCUCUUUCUAUGGACUGUUGUGGCUGCAGUGACGGUGACGGGACAACCUUUUUUAAGCACUGGAUUUUUCUCCUUUUGUAUGGCUGUGCUGUACUAAAGCCAGGCAGCAUAGAGAUUUUUGGAGAGCAUAGUCUCCCACCUCGUGGCGUUGAGACUGACCUGCAGCCUGCUUGUGUUGGCCAUGCCUGGCCAAUUUGCUUGGAGCGGGCUUGUCUGUCAAAUAAACUGAAUGGAAAGAACUGA